UCGUAACAAGGUUCCGUAGGUGAACCUGCGGAAGGAUCAUUG
rnacentral:rRNA from 1 species